GAUGACUGGUGACAGAGUGAGGGAAUGACUGGUGACAGAGUGAGAGAGGGGGUGAAUAGUGACCGAGUGAGGGAGGGAGAGGGUGACUAGUGACAGAGUGAGGAAGGGGGUGACACAGUGAUAGUCACCCCAUUCCUCCCUCUGUCACUAAUCACCACCUCCCUCACUCUCACUAGUCACCACUUCCCUCCCUCACUCUGUCACUAGUCACACCCUCCCUCUCUCUGUCACUAGAGUGAGGGGGUGACUAGUGACGGGGUGACAGGUGAUAGAGUGAUGGGGUGACUAGUGACAGUUACCACCUCCUUCACUCUGUCACUAGUCACCCCCUCCAUCACUCUGUCAUUGUGUCACCCCCUUCCUCACUCUGUCAC